UACGGAGGGUGCGAGCGUUGUCCGGAAUCACUGGGCGUAAAGGGCGCGUAGGCGGCUUCUCAAGCGUGUGGUGAAAGUCCGGGGCUCAACCCCGGAUCGGCCGUGCGGACUGGGGAGCUCGAGUUCUGUAGAGGCGGGUGGAAUUCCGGGUGUAGCGGUGGAAUGCGUAGAGAUCCGCAAGAACACCGGUGGCGAAGGCGGCCCGCUGGGCAGAGACUGACGCUGAGGCGCGACAGCGUGGGGAGCAAACAGG
rnacentral:rRNA from 1 species